AACGAACACUAGCGGCGUGUUUAAGACAUGCAAGUCGCACGGGAUAAGACAUGUAGUAAUACUUGUUUUAUUUAGUGGCGCACGGGUGAGUAACACGUGAAUUACAUGCCCUAUAGUGGGGAAUAGCCCAGGGAAACUUGGAUUAAUACCCCAUGGUAUCGAAAGAUUAAAGGUGGCCGCAAGGCUGUCGCUAUAGGAUUGGUUCGCGCCCUAUCAGCUUGUUGGUGAGGUAACGGCUCACCAAGGCAAUGACGGGUACCUGGUCUGAGAGGACGAUCAGGCACACUGGAACUGAGACACGGUCCAGACACCUACGGGUGGCAGCAGUCGAGAAUAAUUCACAAUGGGGGCAACCCUGAUGGUGCAACGCCGCGUGGAGGAUGACGGUCUUCGGAUUGUAAACUCCUGUCAUCUGGGAGAAAGACCUGACGGUAAAUAGCCGGCAGGGUUGAUAGUACCAGAAGAGGAAGGGACGGCUAACUUCGUGCCAGCCGCCGCAGUAA
rnacentral:rRNA from 1 species